GUUUUUGAUAAUUAUGAUCCAAGGGCAAAUGCGAGGUGGAGGUCUGUAACGAGGCUCGCCACAAGGUUUAACAACAAGCAACACAUGAAAUCUGCUGCAUUAUGCUUUAGUGUUGCCAAGGAGAUGUUUGAUGGUUUGAGAAAAGGAUAUGAAUCAGGCAAUGGUUCUGAUGGAUUCUUUGUAUCCUUGGAGGAUAAAGAUCUCG
rnacentral:misc_RNA from 1 species